rnacentral:rRNA from 1 species
UACGGAGGGAGCUAGCGUUGUUCGGAAUUACUGGGCGUAAAGCGCGCGUAGGCGGCUUUGUAAGUUAGAGGAAAGCCCGGGGCUCAACCCCGGAAUUGCCUUUAAGACUGCAUCGCUUGAAUCCGGGAGAGGUGAGUGGAAUUCCGAGUGUAGAGGUGAAAUUCGUAGAUAUUCGGAAGAACACCAGUGGCGAAGGCGGCUCACUGGACCGGCAUUGACGCUGAGGUGCGAAAGCGUGGGGAGCGAACAGG